UCCUCGUUAGUACAGUGGUUAGUAUCCACGCCUAGCACGCGGGAGAUCGGGGUUUGAUUUCCCGACGAGGAG